rnacentral:rRNA from 1 species
UACGUAGGACCCGAGCGUUGUCCGGAUUUACUGGGUAUAAAGGGUGCGUAGGCGGCCUUGUGCGUCAGAGGUGAAAUAUCCGGGCUUAACCCGGAGGGUGCCUUUGAUACGGCAGGGCUUGAGUGCGAGAGAGGAUGAUGGAAUUCCUGGUGUAGCGGUGAAAUGCGUAGAUAUCAGGAGGAACACCGGUGGCGAAGGCGGUCAUCUGGCUCGCAACUGACGCUGAGGCACGAAAGCGCGGGGAUCAAACAGGAUUAGAUACCCUGGUAGUCCGCGCCCUAAACGAUGUAUGCUUGGUGUUGGGCCCGCAAGGGUUCAGUGCCGUAGGGAAUCUGAUAAGCAUACCACCUGGGGAGUACGAUCGCAAGGUUGAA